GUUAUAGGGUUUUGUUAUAGGGCUAUUACCCAUGCUACACCAUGGUUCAAGACAAAAUUUCAUUCAUUUAUAAUUAGAAAUAAACAUUUCACAAUAUAUAAUUACAUAUUGUUUUUGUGAUUAAUCACUAUGCUUUAAUUAUGUUCAGUUUAUAACAAUGAAAAUAAAUCCUGCAUAUCAGAUAUUUAUAUUAUGAUUUAUAACAAUAGCAAAAUUACAGUUAUGAAAUAUCAAUGAAAAUAAUUUUAUGGUUGGGGGGUCACCACAACAUGAGGAACUGUAUUAAAGGGUCACACCAUUAGGAAGGUUGAG
rnacentral:lncRNA from 1 species